rnacentral:rRNA from 1 species
UACGUAGGGUGCGAGCGUUGUCCGGAAUUACUGGGCGUAAAGAGCUCGUAGGUGGUUUGUCGCGUUGUCCGUGAAAACUCACAACUCAAUUGUGGGCGUGCGGGCGAUACGGGCAGACUGGAGUACUGCAGGGGAGACUGGAAUUCCUGGUGUAGCGGUGGAAUGCGCAGAUAUCAGGAGGAACACCAAUUGCGAAGGCAGCUCGCUGGGACGUUACUGACGCUGAGGCGCGAAAGCGUGGGGAGCGAACAGG